UACGUAGGUGGCAAGCGUUGUCCGGAAUUAUUGGGCGUAAAGCGCGAGCAGGCGGCCACUUAAGUCUGAUGUGACAGCCCCCGGCUCAACCGGGGAGGGGCAUUGGAAACUGGGAGGCUUGAGUAUAGGAGAAAAGAGUGGAAUUCCGCGUGUAACAGUGAAAUGCGUAGAGAUGUGGAGGAACACCAGUGGCGAAGGCGACUCUUUGGCCUAUAACUGACGCUGAGGCGCGAAAGCGUGGGGAGCAAACAGG
rnacentral:misc_RNA from 1 species